rnacentral:misc_RNA from 1 species
UCUUGGUGAAAGAAAUCUGCACUCUUGAUAAAUCAAUUUCCACCGUCAAAUUCCAGAACAAGCACUACUGUUAUGAAUAACCUCGUAGCAAAUGAAUCUGUUAUGACAUCACAAUAGUCUCACAUGAUGGCUACCAAAGAGGACUAACAUAGUAAUAAAUGCUAAAAAUUUUAAUGUGGACACCACGACUAUGAAUGUCUAUAUAAAAUAAAUUUGAAGCAAUUAAACAACAAAUUUCUUCCUCUCCCCAACCUCUGGUUGCUACAACAUCUCCAACACAUCCUGUUUUACUCUAAAGGAGGAAAAACGUUGAGCUACUAGUGCCUUCUUUCCUUGGCCCGCUUCCUGGACUGUCGACCCUUUAUCUUCCACUUCUCAUUUCCAGCAGGACGAUUUUGUUCUUCUAUCUCUUGGACCUUGCGCUUCCUGUAAGCUGCGAGAGUACGAUCAGAAAGCACCUCAUCUGCAAUGGUUGCCUUCCUCUCCUUCUUAGUUAGCCUACCGGAGAAGAAAUCUAUUGCUGACUCUACAACUGUACCAACCUGGAAAUACUUGGGCAGUGUUUUUGAUUUUGAUUCACCCUUUUUAUAGUGUCUCUUUGGAUCAAGAGCACCCCUCAGCUUAAGUAACUGGAGAUCUUUUUUCAAUUCAGGCGUCAUAGUAGGGGCAGGCAUAUCAAACCAAUCUUUCCCAAGUGUAUCUUUAGCUUGACUUCUGAGUAACCUGUUAACCUUUCUAGGAUCGUUGGGUGGCACAAAUAGCCCGUCAAUAAGCUCUGUAUUGGGUUUCCAAAGUGCACUCCUCUCAGGUUGGUCUUGGGACUUGGUAUUACUAAUUUUAGUCAAAGAUGACAAAGGCGGCAACUUCGGCUCCCAUGAGAGCCCAAUCAACGACUUCUUUUCUCCCAUACUGAUU